rnacentral:rRNA from 1 species
CAGUCGCCGCGGUAAAACGAAGGGUGCAAGCGUUACUCGGAAUUACUGGGCGUAAAGCGCACGUAGGCGGAUAUUUAAGUCAGGGGUGAAAUCCCGCAGCUCAACUGCGGAACUGCCUUUGAUACUGGGUAUCUUGAGUAUGGAAGAGGUUAGUGGAAUUGCGAGUGUAGAGGUGAAAUUCGUAGAUAUUCGCAGGAACACCAGUGGCGAAGGCGGCUCACUGGCUCGAUACUGACGCUGAGGUGCGAAAGCGUGGGGAGCAAACAGGAUUAGAUACCCGCGUAGUCCCUGUCUCUUAUAC